rnacentral:rRNA from 1 species
CCCUUAGAUGUCCUGGGCCGCACGCGCGUUACACUGAUGCAUUCAACGAGCUUAUAACCUUGGCCGAGAGGCCUGGGCAAUCUUGUUAACGUGCAUCGUGAUAGGGAUAGAUUAUUGAAAUUAUUAAUCUUGAACGAGGAAUUCCUAGUAAACGCAGAUCAUCAAUCUGCAUUGAUUACGUCCCUGCCCUUUGUACACACCGCCCGUCGCACCUACCGAUUGGAUGGUCCGGUGAAGCCUCGGGAUUGUGGCGGUUGCCUUUAUUGGUGGCCGCCGCGAGAACUUGUCUAAACCUUAUCAUCUAGAGGAAGGUGAAGUCGUAACA